rnacentral:rRNA from 1 species
UACAGAGGGUGCAAGCGUUGUUCGGAAUUAUUGGGCGUAAAGGGCGCGUAGGCGGUGUAGCAAGUCGGGAGUGAAAUCUCUGGGCUUAACCCAGAGGCUGCUUCCGAAACUGCUGUGCUUGAGUGUGGGAGAGGCGCGUGGAAUUGCAGGUGUAGCGGUGAAAUGCGUAGAUAUCUGCAGGAACACCCGUGGCGAAAGCGGCGCGCUGGACCACUACUGACGCUGAGGAACGAAAGCUAGGGGAGCAAACAGG